rnacentral:misc_RNA from 1 species
AAAGACCGGUGGGCGGGGCUUGCCACCGACAUCUCCGAUGAUCAGCAGGAUAUCUCCAGAGGCAAGGGGAUGGUGGACUCCCUCUUCCAGGCUCCGAUGGGGGAUGGGACUCAUGUUCCCAUCAUGAACUCAUAUGAAUACAUCAGCAAGGGUUUGAGGCAGUACAACUUUGACAAUACCAAAGAUGGGUUUUACAUAGCUCCGGCUUUCAUGGAUAAGCUUGUUGUUCAUAUCACCAAGAACUACAUGACAUUGCCUAAUAUCAAGGUUCCUCUUAUUUUGGGUAUCUGGGGAGGGAAAGGACAAGGGAAAUCUUUCCAGUGUGAGCUUGUGUUUGCCAAGAUG